GCCGACGUAACUCAGGGGUAGAGUAGCUGUUUUGUAAACAGCCUGUCGUGGGUUCGAAUCCCUCCGUCGGCU
rnacentral:tRNA from 1 species